AAAAACACUUUGAAACUCCAUUGCAGAAAAGCCAGCUAUGAUAUUUAUAGACGAGAAUUGUCUUUGUAUAAACCCAAGUGAAGGGAUAGCAAGCAUGGGGCAGAAAAUUUGCAGUGAUUAUUUCUCGUCUUGCUUCCGCAAGAUCACCGACUAGUUAGGGGAAACUGGGUAAAACGCGAAAACGAUUACAACCACGCCGUGCUCCAAACACGGUAUAACUCCACUAGAACAUUAAAACCUCUCUAGAAGACGGACAACCGAAACCAUAUAUUUGGUAGCACUUUACAACUAGGGGCUGGUCAGAUCAGCCAUGUUUGUUUCAUUCAUUCACCGGAAAAAUCUUAAAGCGGAGCUCCAUUCCAAUCUCGCUCCAAUACGGAUGUCAUGUUUGUUGGUUCAAUGUCGAAUUUCCUCACACGGUGUAGUUCUGGUUGAUGGUGUCGAUGUCAAGGCCCUUGAGCUUCACCACGGAUUCAACGUGGCCCUUGAGUGUGUUGAGCUCCCUCAACCUGCAGAUAAUCAUCAGGAAAAAGGGCAUUAGCAAUCAACGACUAGCCUGACUCGUCUGAUCUAUUAGCAGUUUGGAAGCACAAAGAUAAUAUACCUUGCAAUCUCAGCUCUUCUCUUUGCUUGCUCAGCGAUCUCAGAGAGCUCACGGUAGCUGCUCUUGUCGUUGAACAGUGUGUGGGAGGCCGGCUCGGGUGCUUGAAGGCCAUGGAGUGUUCUCUGUGCAGUAGCCCAUUGUGCUUCCCUCUCCCCUUUGCCGUAGUUCUCUUUGGUGGUGAAAGCAGUCUGCACAACAAGGAUCAGAGGGUCAUCAUUUGCUCCAGGAUGUACGUGUACCUAAAAAUAAAGGUGCUGACACAGAGAUAUGGUUCGACUUGGUACCUUGUUCUGCAGGAGGUUGUCCCAGGCCCUUCCACUCAGCACAAAUCGGAUGAAGAACUUGAAAAUGUCAAGUGGGAAGUAGAACACAAUGCUGAAGAGCCAGAUAACACCAGCCCAGCCCCACCCGAUUCCCUUGAUCCUUGCAAACUCCCAGUUGGCAUAGACAGCGAUGAGUGUUGCAACCUGCAUCAAGAAGGUUCAGCUAAGGAUUCGAUUGUCCUGAAUUUCUUUCUUUGCAGAUAAACUGUUCUUCACGUACCAAUUGUGCAAGAAGGAAGGCGGUAACCAAGAGGAAACCAGGGCGCUCAACAAAGGACCAGCUACGUGAACGAGUCACGAAUAUAAGAGCCUGGCUCACAAUACUGACUUGGAGGUACAGUGCAGACAUCAUCUCAAACUCGCUGUCCCUGAUUGACCUGACACCGAAUUUGUUCUGCACAAAGAAAUUUAAGUCAGAAAGAACAUCCCACUGAAAUUUACCUACCAGAAGUUUAGAUGCAAAGAUACGCUGAUAUUUUUCAAAGAAAUUUGAAAACUCACUGUGAAGAAGUCUGUCUUGUGGAUAACCCAGAAGAAGACGACAGUCAUCAGGGCAAGGUAGGUUCCGAGCACAACACCAGUGGCGAAGAUUUCAUUGAGCUUCCAGCUGUCGGGCAAGGGAGAUGGCUUAACUCUGUCCUUGGAUAUUGUCAUGAUAGUACCUGCAAUUUUCAUAUAAAUGUGAGAAGUGAUGCUCACAUACAUACCAUCAUUGGCCGUAGUACCUGCAUCGGCUACUAAUGGACAACAAAAGAAUACAUACCAUCAUUGAGGAUGGCAAUGAUAAGGACCAUGAAGGGGGCGAAAUCAAAUUUCCAGAUCAAGGCAAUAAGCAUAAAGCCAAGCUGCAAAAUGGAAGUGAUAUUAAUUUGGAGAAAUAUGAAGUGCAUAUCAGUGGGGCAGAAAUAUCGCUGAGGUACUUACCACAAUACGGAUGGUGAUGGAAACUGCAUAGAUCUGGCAUAACACAUGACAGAAAAAGAGCAUUGAGUCUGAAUGUGAUGUGAUCAUCUGUUUAGAAGGUUACUAAUUAUCAACUUUGAAAGAAAAAACUCACCGUGUAGUUCUUCAUCCUCUGGAAAAUGCACCUGCUGGUCAGGACAGCACUGAUAAUGACACUGAGACCUGGCUCGGUAAGCACAAUGUCGGAAGCACUUCGAGCAGCAUCUGUAGCAUCAUCGACAGCAAUACCAAUGUCGGCCUUCUUAAGAGCAGGAGCAUCAUUGACACCAUCUCCAGUCAUACC
rnacentral:lncRNA from 1 species